AUACGUAGGGGGCGAGCGUUGUCCGGAAUUACUGGGCGUAAAGGGUGCGUAGGUGGUUUCUUAAGUCAGCGGUGAAAUUUUCCGGCUCAACCGGGAUACUGCCGUUGAUACUGUAAGGCUAGGAUAUGGUUGCUGUGGGUGGAAUGUGUGGUGUAGCGGUGAAAUGCUUAGAGAUCACACAGAAUAUCGAUUGCGAAGGCAGCUCACAAAGCCAUUAUUGGCGCUGAGGCACGAAAGUGUGGGGAUC
rnacentral:rRNA from 1 species